UGGGGAAUAUUGCACAAUGGACGGAAGUUUGAUGCAGCGACGCCGCGUGGAGGGUGUAGGCCUUCGGGUUGUGAACUCCUUUUUCUCGCGAAAAAGGCACAGUUUUGGCUGUGUUGAUGGUAGUGGGGGAAGAAGCACCGGCUAACUACGUGCCAGCAGCCGCGGUGAUACGUAGGGUGCGAGCGUUGUCCGGAAUUAUUGGGCGUAAAGAGCUUGUAGGCGGUUUGUCGCGUCGAUAGUGUAAACACGCAGCUUAACUGUGUGCCUGCUGUCGAUACGGGCUGACUAGAGGAGGGUAGGGGAGAAUGGAAUUCCCGGUGGAGCGGUGGAAUGCGCAGAUAUCGGGAGGAACACCAGUGGCGAAGGCGGUUCUCUGGACCUUUCCUGACGCUGAGAAGCGAAAGCGUGGGUAGCAAACAGG
rnacentral:rRNA from 1 species